rnacentral:rRNA from 1 species
CAGGCUUAACACAUGCAAGUCGAGGGGCAGCAUUUCAGUUUGCUUGCAAACUGGAGAUGGCGACCGGCGCACGGGUGAGUAACACGUAUCCAACCUGCCGAUAACUCGGGGAUAGCCUUUCGAAAGAAAGAUUAAUACCCGAUGGUAUAAUCAGACCGCAUGGUCUUGUUAUUAAAGAAUUUCGGUUAUCGAUGGGGAUGCGUUCCAUUAGGCAGUUGGUGAGGUAACGGCUCACCAAACCUUCGAUGGAUAGGGGUUCUGAGAGGAAGGUCCCCCACAUUGGAACUGAGACACGGUCCAAACUCCUACGGGAGGCAGCAGUGAGGAAUAUUGGUCAAUGGGCGCAGGCCUGAACCAGCCAAGUAGCGUGAAGGAUGACUGCCCUAUGGGUUGUAAACUUCUUUUAUAUGGGAAUAAAGUUUUCCACGUGUGGAAUUUUGUAUGUACCGUAUGAAUAAGGAUCGGCUAACUCCGUGCCAGCAGCCGCGGUAAUACGGAGGAUCCGAGCGUUAUCCGGAUUUAUUGGGUUUAAAGGGAGCGUAGGUGGACAGUUAAGUCAGUUGUGAAAGUUUGCGGCUCAACCGUAAAAUUGCAGUUGAUACUGGCUGUCUUGAGUACAGUAGAGGUGGGCGGAAUUCGUGGUGUAGCGGUGAAAUGCUUAGAUAUCACGAAGAACUCCGAUUGCGAAGGCAGCUCACUGGACUGCAACUGACACUGAUGCUCGAAAGUGUGGGUAUCAAACAGGAUUAGAUACCCUGGUAGUCCACACAGUAAAACGAUGAAUACUCGCUGUUUGCGAUAUACAGUAAAGCGGACAAGCGAAAGCAUUAAGUAUUCCACUUGGGGAGUACGCCGGCAACGGUGAAACUCAAAGGAAUUGACGGGGGCCCGCACAAGCGGAGGAACAUGUGGUUUAAUUCGAUGAUACGCGAGGAACCUUACCCGGGCUUAAAUUGCAUUUGAAUAUAUUGGAAACAGUAUAGCCGUAAGGCAAAUGUGAAGGUGCUGCAUGGUUGUCGUCAGCUCGUGCCGUGAGGUGUCGGCUUAAGUGCCAUAACGAGCGCAACCCUUAUCUUUAGUUACUAACAGGUCAUGCUGAAGACUCUAGAGAGACUGCCGUCGUAAGAUGUGAGGAAGGUGGGGAUGACGUCAAAUCAGCACGGCCCUUACGUCCGGGGCUACACACGUGUUACAAUGGGGGGUACAGAAGGCAGCUACCUGGUGACAGGAUGCUAAUCCCAAAAGCCUCUCUCAGUUCGGAUCGAAGUUUGCAACCCGACUUCGUGAAGCUGGAUUCGUUAGUAAUCGCGCAUCAGCCAUGGCGCGGUGAAUACGUUCCCGGGCCUUGUACACACCGCCCGUCAAGCCAUGAAAGCCGGGGGUACCUGAAGUAGGUAACCGCAAGGAGCGUCCUAGGGUAAAACUGGUAAUUGGGG